GGUGAGCUCCCACCUGCGAGGACUGGGCRCCUCGUGCGCAGCGCCUGGCCCCCGGGGACCCACGCCAACCCUGCUGCCCGAGGGCCGCGAGCCACCCGGCUCCGCGACGCCAGGGCCUGCGCUGGGAAGGYGCCUGCACCCCGAGGACCGGGGCUGUGCGGGGACGGGUGCUGGGGCGGGGGUGACGCAUGCUCCUGCCCCGCCACGAGUGGGAAGGGGCUGCCCCGCACCUUGGGGCUGCGCCGCCGCCGGCACCCCUGCCCGGGUUUGGGGGAGGAAAGCGCGGCCGGAGCCAGGCGCCCGGGGCCGGGGCGGCUCCGCGGCUCGGGCCCCCGCGCUGCUCCCUCCCCGGGGCGCGCAGGCUGCGGGCGCCGCCGCGACUUGCCGCGAUACCGACGAUACACAAAGGAAGAGACUUCAAAGCCGGCCCGAGGCUCCCCCGUCCCUCCCGCACCGGGCGGCCGCCGCCGGCGGAGCUGCCCCGCGCCCGGUGCCGCAGCCCCCCCGCGGCCGCGCAGCGCCGGGGCGGCCCCGCUGCGGCGGGGGAGGCGGGUAGGGGAGGCUCGGCCUGUGCAGCCCCCUCCUUCGCUCCCUCCUUCGCUCCCUCCCUCCGUCUCUCCUGUGCCAACCUGCUGCCGCCUUUGUCAGCGCAGCCCGGCGCUAUGGCAUCCUGCCGGGGCUUGGGGCUGGGGCUCUUCCUCCUCCUCCUCCUCCUCCUCGCCGCGAAGCCGCUGCUGCGGCGGAAGAGCCGGCCGUGAAGGCAGGCGCUCCCGCGGCGGAGCAAAGGCAGGUGGCAGCCCCCAGGUGAGCCCCCGGCGCCGGGGGGGGCGGCUGCGAGGAGAGGGGCGGGCAGGGACGGCGCUGGGCUCCCCCAGACCCGAGAGCCCCCUCGGGGGGGGGCCGGGGCCGGGGCGGUUCAGCACUGCUGUGCCCCGCCGGGCACCGGGUGCAGGUGAGGAGCCCCCCGGCCCUGCGGUCCCUGCCGGGGUCGCAUCUCUUUGUCAGCCUCCCAGGGAAAGGGGGGACUCAAAAAAUCUUGGAAACUCCUCCUGCGACUCUGGCACCUCCGCUCCGUCCUGCGCAGCUGGAUCUGGCAGCUGGGAGAGRAGGGAGCACGGCCACCCUGCCUUUUCCCCAGGGGCCGGUGAACCCGGACGAAUGGGGAGCGCUGGGGAUGGGAGCGCGGCAAGRGAAGGAGCCGCGCUGCCGGGUCCGGGGAGCCAGGCUGGGCAAAGUCGGCUCCGGGAUGGCGGUGGUGGUGUUCUGGGUUUGCCUUGGAAAGCAGUCCUUGCUAAAAAUCCAGGCUGA
rnacentral:lncRNA from 1 species